AUUUACUUUCUUUAUUUUGUUUUCUCAGCCUUUAAACAUCUAAAAAUGUCCUCCAAAAAGGUUUCCUGUGCUGUUUUGCUCCAUUUUACUGAACAAAAUAAGGCUGAGGUAGCACCAUCCUUGUGGUUAGAGUGAAAGAAUGUGGGUAUUGAGACCAAAAUAAACAAUGUGCCAUUCUGGACAAACAGCUGUGGACAAUAUAAGCUGUCAGAGUAGCCUAUUUUCUCACACAGACCUGAAGAUAAGAUUUCCAGUUUAAAAGUGAAGAAAAUGAAUCAUUAUUAACAGCAAUUAGGAGUAUUUCUUAGCUGAAACCCAGG